rnacentral:rRNA from 1 species
UGGGGAAUAUUGGGCAAUGGGCGAAAGCCUGACCCAGCGACGCCGCGUGGGUGAUGAAGGCCUUCGGGUUGUAAAGCCCUUUCGUGCGGAAAGAACAGUCCCGUGGUUAAUACCCGCGGGAUUUGACGGUACCGCAGGAAGAAGCACCGGCUAACUCCGUGCCAGCAGCCGCGGUAAUACGGAGGGUGCAAGCGUUGUUCGGAAUUACUGGGCGUAAAGGGCGCGUAGGCGGUAAUGUAAGUCAGAUGUGAAAUCCUUCGGCUUAACCGGAGAACUGCAUCUGAAACUGCAUAACUAGAGUACAGAAGAGGGAAACGGAAUUCCCGGUGUAGAGGUGAAAUUCGUAGAUAUCGGGAGGAACACCAGUGGCGAAGGCGGUUUCCUGGUCUGAUACCGACGCUGAGGCGCGAAAGCGUGGGGAGCAACCAG